rnacentral:lncRNA from 10 species
GCUUACAUUUUCUGGUUGAAAAGUACUGCUCUGUUCUAUUACAUUCAUCUGUUUGCUUAUCCUGUGUCAAUACCACACUAUCUCAACUGCUGUAAAUUAUAAUACGUCUACAUAUCAUGGAUAAGUCUCCAAUUUUGGUCAUCUUCUUAGAGACUGUCUUAGCCAUUCUUGAUACUUUCAUUUCCAUAUACAUUUUAGAAUCAGCUUGUCAGACUUCACAAUAAACAAAACUGGCUGUGAUAGUACUGAAUUCAUAAAUCAAUUUGGAAAGUACUAAUAUCUUUACAUUACUGAGUCUUCAAUAAACAUAGUAUAUCCUUCUAAUUAUUUGGUUUUUUAAAAGUCUAUCGAUGUUUAUAUCUGUGUUUUAUUUUGGUAGUUUUAUACUUUUCAUUAGGUAUUUUUCAUAUCCUUCUGUAGAUUAUUUUUCAAAUCUCACUUUCUAAUUGUUGAUAAUUUACAGAAAUACAAUUAAUGUUUAUAUACUAAAUUUAUACCCAACAAUAUCACUGAAUAUAUUUUUUAGUUUUCAGUUUUACUGAUCUACAAUAUUCAAUAAACUGAACAUGUUUAAAGGA